AAAGGGAGACUUCUAUAAGGAGUCGCAAGAGUGUAGAAAAUGGCUUUGAAACUAGAAAGAGGGUUCUGGGGCUAUUAGCUCAGGUGGUUAGAGCGCACCCCUGAUAAGGGUGAGGUCCCUGGUUCAAGUCCAGGAUGGCCCAGUUGGGGGUAUAGCUCAGUUGGUAGAGCGCCUGCUUUGCAAGCAGGAUGUCAGCGGUUCGAGUCCGCUUACCUCCAGAUGAACGAUUUAGCAUCUAUAGAAAUGGAAUGCUGAACGAUAGUUCAGUAAGAACCUUGAAAACUGCAUAGCGAAAAAAAAGUCUGAAAAAGUCUGUAUAGUAACAGAAUA
rnacentral:tRNA from 1 species